UACGUAGGGUGCAAGCGUUGUCCGGAAUUAUUGGGCGUAAAGAGCUCGUAGGCGGUCUGUCGCGUCUGCUGUGAAAACUCAGGGCUUAACCCUGAGCUUGCAGUGGGUACGGGCAGACUAGAGUUCGGCAGGGGAGACUGGAAUUCCUGGUGUAGCGGUGAAAUGCGCAGAUAUCAGGAGGAACACCGGUGGCGAAGGCGGGUCUCUGGGCCGAUACUGACGCUGAGGAGCGAAAGCGUGGGGAGCGAACAGG
rnacentral:rRNA from 1 species